rnacentral:rRNA from 1 species
UUCCAGCUCCAAUAGCGUAUAUUAAAGUUGUUGCGGUUAAAAAGCUCGUAGUCGAAUCUGUGUCCCGCGUCGCCGGUUCAUCGUCCGCGGUGUUAACUGGCGUUCCGCGGGACGUCCUGCCGGUGGGCUUAGCCCGCAAGGGCGGCCCAACUCAAUCCCGCCGCGGUGCUCUUCACUGAGUGUCGAGGUGGGCCGGCACGUUUACUUUGAACAAAUUAGAGUGCUUAAAGCAGGCUAAAACUUCGCCUGAAUACUGUGUGCAUGGAAUAAUGGAAUAGGACCUCGGUUCUAUUUUGUUGGUUUUCGGAACCCCGAGGUAAUGAUUAAUAGGAACGGAUGG